AUUGAACGCUGGCGGCAGGCCUAACACAUGCAAGUCGAACGGUAACAGGAAGAAGCUUGCUUCUUUGCUGACGAGUGGCGGACGGGUGAGUAAUGUCUGGGAAACUGCCUGAUGGAGGGGGAUAACUACUGGAAACGGUAGCUAAUACCGCAUAACGUCGCAAGACCAAAAAGGGGGACCUUCGGGCCUCUUGCCAUCGGAUGUGCCCAGAUGGGAUUAGCUAGUAGGUGGGGUAACGGCUCUCCUAGGCGACGAUCCCUAGCUGGUCUGAGAGGAUGACCAGCCACACUGGAACUGAGACACGGUCCAGACUCCUACGGGAGGCAGCAGUGGGGAAUAUUGCACAAUGGGCGCAAGCCUGAUGCAGCCAUGCCGCGUGUAUGAAGAAGGCCUUCGGGUUGUAAAGUACUUUCAGCGGGGAGGAAGGGAGUAAAGUUAAUACCUUUGCUCAUUGACGUUACCCGCAGAAGAAGCACCGGCUAACUCCGUG
rnacentral:rRNA from 1 species